UUAGAGUUUGAUUCUGGCUCAGGAUGAACGCUAGCGGCAGGCUUAACACAUGCAAGUCGAGGGGCAGCGAGAUCAGUGCUUGCACUGGUUGUCGGCGACCGGCGCACGGGUGCGUAACGCGUAUGCAACCUACCCAUUACAGGGGGAUAACACUGAGAAAUCGGUACUAAUACCCCAUAACAUCCAGGGAGGCAUCUUCUUGGGUUGAAAACUCCGGUGGUAAUGGAUGGGCAUGCGUUGUAUUAGUUAGUUGGUGGGGUAACGGCUCACCAAGACAACGAUACAUAGGGGGACUGAGAGGUUAACCCCCCACAUUGGUACUGAGACACGGACCAAACUCCUACGGGAGGCAGCAGUGAGGAAUAUUGGUCAAUGGACGCAAGUCUGAACCAGCCAUGCCGCGUGCAGGAAGACGGCUCUAUGAGUUGUAAACUGCUUUUGUACGAGGGUAAACGCAGAUACGCGUAUCUGUCUGAAAGUAUCGUACGAAUAAGGAUCGGCUAACUCCGUGCCAGCAGCCGCGGUAAUACGGAGGAUUCAAGCGUUAUCCGGAUUUAUUGGGUUUAAAGGGUGCGUAGGCGGUCGGAUAAGUUAGAGGUGAAAUCCCGGGGCUCAACUUCGGAAUUGCCUCUGAUACUGUUCGGCUAGAGAGUAGUUGCGGUAGGCGGAAUGUAUGGUGUAGCGGUGAAAUGCUUAGAGAUCAUACAGAACACCGAUUGCGAAGGCAGCUUACCAAGCUACUUCUGACGUUGAGGCACGAAAGCGUGGGGAGCAAACAGGAUUAGAUACCCUGGUAGUCCACGCAGUA
rnacentral:rRNA from 1 species